rnacentral:rRNA from 1 species
GACGAACGCUGGCGGCGUGCUUAACACAUGCAAGUCGAACGAGACGAUUGAAAGCUUGCUUUUGAAAGUCGAGUGGCAAACGGGUGAGUAACGCGUAGACAACCUGCCUUUGAGAUGGGGACAACAGUUCGAAAGGACUGCUAAUACCGAAUGUUGUAUAUUUUCCACAUGGAAGAUAUAUUAAAGAUGGCCUCUAUUUAUAAGCUAUCGCUCAAAGAUGGGUCUGCGUCUGAUUAGCUGGUUGGGGGGGUAACGGCCUACCAAGGCGACGAUCAGGAGCCGGUCUGAGAGGGUGGACGGCCGCAUUGGGACUGAGACACGGCCCAGACUCCUACGGGAGGCAGCAGUGGGGAAUUUGGGACAAUGGGCGAAAGCCUGAGCCAGCAAUGCCGCGUGUGUGAAGAAGGCCUUCGGGUUGUAAAGCUCUGUUUAAAGGGACGAAUGGCAGAUCUGUGAAUAAUGAAUUUGCAUGACGGUACCUUUGGAGGAAGCCACGGCUAACUACGUGCCAGCAGCCGCCGUAA